UAACUACUCAAGCCUGUCUUGGUGUUGGGGAUUGCGAAUCUCGCAGCCCUAGAGUCCAGUAGCGUCACCUGUGGGUCCUAAGCGUAGUAAUUUCUCCUCGCUACAGAGCCUGCUCGUGGAUAGUGUAAAUCCAGUUCGGUCUGGUAUCCCGCUAUUAAACCCCCAAUUUUCAAA
rnacentral:misc_RNA from 1 species